rnacentral:rRNA from 1 species
UUAUAGGUGGGGCUACACACGUCAUACAAUGGCUGGUACAGAGGGUUGCCAACCCGCGAGGGGGAGCUAAUCCCAUAAAACCAGUCGUAGUCCGGAUCGCAGUCUGCAACUCGACUGCGUGAAGUCGGAAUCGCUAGUAAUCGCGGAUCAGAAUGUCGCGGUGAAUACGUUCCCGGGUCUUGUACACACCGCCCGUCACACCAUGGGAGCGGGUUCUGCCAGAAGUAGUUAGCCUAACCGCAAGGAGGGCGAUUACCACGGCAGGGUUCGUGACUGGGGUGAAGUCGUAACAAGGUAACCA